rnacentral:rRNA from 1 species
GUUUGAUCCUGGCUCAGGAUGAACGCUGGCGGCAUGCCUAACACAUGCAAGUCGAUCGGUAAGGCUCUUCGGAGUACACGAGAGGCGGACGGCUGAGUAACGCGUAGGAACACACCCUGCAGUGAGGGAUAAGACACCGAAAGGUGUUCUAAUACCGCAUACGGUCUUCGGAUUAAAGCAUUUAUGCGCUGAAGGAGUGGCCUGCGUCAUAUUAGAUAGUUGGUGAGGUAAUGGCUUACCAAGUCGAUGAUGUGUAGCUGGUCUGAGAGGAUGAUCAGCCAGACUGGAACUGAGACACGGUCCAGACUCCUACGGGAGGCAGCAGUGAGGAAUAUUUCACAAUGAGCGAAAGCUUGAUGGAGCAAUGCCGCGUGCAGGAUGAAGGCCCUCGGGUUGUAAACUGCUUUUAUAAGAGAAGAUUAUGACGGUAACUUAUGAAUAAGGGACGGCUAACUACGUGCCAGCAGCCGCGGUCAUACGUAGGUCCCGAGCGUUAUCCGGAGUGACUGGGCGUAAAGAGUUGCGUAGGCGGUCAAGUUAGCGAGCGAUGAAAACUAUCGGCUCAACCGAUAGCUUGUUGUUCGAACUGCUUGACUCGAGAGUAUCAGAGGUCGCUGGAAUUCCUAGUGUAGCAGUGAAAUGCGUAGAUAUUAGGAAGAACACCGAUGGCGUAGGCAGGCGACUGGGAUAUUUCUGACGCUAAGGCACGAAAGCGUGGGUAGCGAACCGGAUUAGAUACCCGGGUAGUCCACGCCGUAAACGAUGGAUGCUAAUUGUUUGAGGUAUCGACCCCUCGAGUAAUAAAGCUAACGCGUUAAGCAUCCCGCCUGUGGAGUACGGCCGCAAGGCUAAAACAUAAAGGAAUUGACGGGGAC